UCCGGUUUAACACCGGCAGUCCCACUAGAGUGCCUAACUUAAUAUUGGCAACUAGUAGUAAGGGUUGCGCUCGUUGCGUCACUUAAGACAACAUCUCACGACACGAGCUGACGACAGCCAUGCAGCACCUGUGUCUAGGUUCCCGAAGGCACAGCCGUAUCUCUACAGCCUUCCUAGCAUGUCAAGAGCAGGUAAGGUUUUUCGCGUUGCAUCGAAUUAAUCCACAUCAUCCACCGCUUGUGCGGGUCCCCGUCAAUUCCUUUGAGUUUUAAUCUUGCGACCGUACUCCCCAGGCGGUCUACUUCUCGCGUUAGCUUCGCUACUAAGGCUUCUAUUCCCCAACAGCAAGUAGACAUCGUUUAGGGCGUGGACUAC
rnacentral:misc_RNA from 1 species